rnacentral:rRNA from 1 species
UCUACGGGAGGCAGCAGUGAGGAAUAUUGGUCAAUGGACGAGAGUCUGAACCAGCCAAGUAGCGUGAAGGAUGACUGCCCUAUGGGUUGUAAACUUCUUUUAUAUGGGAAUAAAAUGUUCCACGUGUGGGAUUUUGUAUGUACCAUAUGAAUAAGGAUCGGCUAACUCCGUGCCAGCAGCCGCGGUAAUACGGGGGAUCCGAGCGUUACCCGGAUUUAGUGGGUUUAAAGGGAGCGUAGGUGGAUUGUUAAGUUAGUUGUGAAAGUUGGCGGCUCAACCGUAAAAUUGCAGUUGAAACUGGCAGGCUUGAGUACAGUAGAGGUGGGCGGAAUUCGUGGGGUAGCGGUGAAAUGCUUAGAUAUCACGAAGAACUCCGAUUGCGAAGGCAGCUCACUGGACUUCAACUGACACUGAGGCGCGAAAGUGUGGGUAUCAAACAGGAUUAGAUACCCGAGUAGUC